AACGUAGGAGGCAAGCGUUAUCCGGAGUUACUGGGCGUAAAGCGUAUGUAGGCGGUUGGGCAAGUGGCGUGUGAAAGCUCCCGGCUAAACUGGGAGACGACAGGUCAGACUGCUCGACUCGAGUCCGAUAGAGGAGCGUAGAAUUCCGGGUGUAGCGGUGAAAUGUGUAGAGAUCCGGAGGAAUACCAGUGGCGCAAGCGGCGCUCUGGGUCGGGACUGACGCUGAGAUACGAAAGCGUGGGGAGCGAACGGG
rnacentral:rRNA from 1 species